rnacentral:rRNA from 1 species
UAGUCCACGCCGUAAACGAUGGAUACUAGCUGUCCGGUGCCUUGAGCACUGGGCGGCCAAGCGAAAGUGAUAAGUAUCCCACCUGGGGAGUACGUUCGCAAGAAUGAAACUCAAAGGAAUUGACGGGGGCCCGCACAAGCGGUGGAGCAUGUGGUUUAAUUCGAUGAUACGCGAGGAACCUUACCAGGGCUUAAAUGCAUAUUGACAGGUCUAGAGAUAGACUUUCCUUCGGGCAAUUUGCAAGGUGCUGCAUGGUUGUCGUCAGCUCGUGCCGUGAGGUGUCAGGUUAAGUCCUAUAACGAGCGCAACCCCUGCCGUUAGUUGCCAGCAUGUAAAGAUGGGGACUCUAACGGGACUGCCGGUGCAAACCGCGAGGAAGGUGGGGAUGACGUCAAAUCAUCACGGCCCUUACGUCCUGGGGCCACACACGUGCUACAAUGGUGCAUACAGAGGGUCGCGACAUAGCAAUAUGAAGCCAAU